GCCUGGGUGGCUCAGUCGGUUGGGUGUCUGACUUCAGCUCAGGUCAUGAUCUCACAGUCCGUGAGUUCGAGCCCCACGUCGGGCU
rnacentral:tRNA from 1 species